rnacentral:lncRNA from 1 species
GUGAUAAUACUAUGAGGAUUAGGAGUUGUCUAAGUCCUAUAUAUAGUGAUGCAUAUUGUGAUGCAUAAGUGUGUGAGUUUGUGAUCUUGAUAUUGAACUUGGUGAUUGAAUAAUAAGAAAGAACUUCUUAUUGAUAUUGUGAAUCUAUAUUUGGUAUCAGAGCUUAAAGGCAACGAGAUCAGCCUUCAAUUAACGCAAUGACUGAUGCAAAAGACGAUCUCGUU